rnacentral:rRNA from 1 species
UCUAAGUAUAAGCAAUUAUACAGCGAAACUGCGAAUGGCUCAUUAUAUAAGUUAUCGUUUAUUUGAUAAUACCUUACUACUUGGAUAACCGUGGUAAUUCUAGAGCUAAUACAUGCUGAAAAUCCCGACUUCGGAAGGGUUGUAUUUAUUAGAUUAAAAACCAAUGCCCUUCGGGGCUCUCUGGUGAAUCAUGAUAACUAGUCGAAUCGACAGGCCUUGUGCCGGCGAUGGCUCAUUCAAAUUUCUUCCCUAUCAACUUUCGAUGUUUGGGUAUUGGCCAAACAUGGUGGCAACGGGUAACGGAGGGUUAGGGCUCGACCCCGGAGAAGGAGCCUGAGAAACGGCUACUACAUCCAAGGAAGGCAGCAGGCGCGCAAAUUACCCAAUCCCGACUCGGGGAGGUAGUGACAAUAAAUACUGAUACAGGGCUCUUUUGGGUCUUGUAAUCGGAAUGAGUACAAUUUAAAUCCCUUAACGAGGAACAAUUGGAGGGCAAGUCUGGUGCCAGCAGCCGCGGUAAUUCCAGCUCCAAUAGCGUAUAUUAAAGUUGUUGUGGUUAAAAAGCUCGUAGUUGAACCUUGGGCCUGGCUGGCCGGUCCGCCUCACCGCGUGCACUGGUCCGGCCGGGCCUUUCCCUCUGCGGAACCCCAUGCCCUUCGCUGGGCGUGGCGGGGAAACAGGACUUUUACUUUGAAAAAAUUAGAGUGCUCAAGGCAGGCCUAUGCUCGAAUACAUUAGCAUGGAAUAAUGAAAUAGGACGUCGCGGUUCUAUUUUGUUGGUUUCUAGGACCGCCGUAAUGAUUAAUAGGGACAGUCGGGGGCAUCAGUAUUCAAUUGUCAGAGGUGAAAUUCUUGGAUUUAUUGAAGACUAACUACUGCGAAAGCAUUUGCCAAGGAUGUUUUCAUUAAUCAGGAACGAAAGUUAGGGGAUCGAAGACGAUCAGAUACCGUCGUAGUCUUAACCAUAAACUAUGCCGACUAGGGAUCGGACGAUGUUAUAUUUUUUGACGCGUUCGGCACCUUACGAGAAAUCAAAGUGCUUGGGCUCCAGGGGGAGUAUGGUCGCAAGGCUGAAACUUAAAGGAAUUG